UACGUAGGGUGCGAGCGUUAAUCGGAAUUACUGGGCGUAAAGCGCGCGUAGGCGGCUACUUAAGUCGGAUGUGAAAGCCCUUGGCUCAACUGAGGAAGUGCACCCGAAACUGAGUAGCUGGAGUACGAAAGAGGGUCGCGGAAUUCCCGGUGUAGAGGUGAAAUUCGUAGAUAUCGGGAGGAACACCGGUGGCGAAGGCGGCGACCUGGGUCGAUACUGACGCUGAGGCGCGAAAGCGUGGGGAGCAAACAGG
rnacentral:rRNA from 1 species